UGCCAGCCGCCGCGGUAAUACGGAGGGGGCUAGCGUUGUUCGGAAUUACUGGGCGUAAAGCGCGCGUAGGCGGGCUGGUCAGUUGGGGGUGAAAUCCCGGGGCUCAACCUCGGAACUGCAUUUGAAACUGGAAGUCUGGAGUUCAGGAGAGGUUAGCGGAAUACCGAGUGUAGAGGUGAAAUUCGUAGAUAUUCGGUGGAACACCAGUGGCGAAGGCGGCUAACUGGACUGAUACUGACGCUGAGGUGCGAAAGUGUGGGGAGCAAACAGGAUUAGAUA
rnacentral:rRNA from 1 species